rnacentral:rRNA from 2 species
AGAGUUUGAUCAUGGCUCAGGACGAACGCUGGCGGCGUGCCUAACACAUGCAAGUCGAGCGGUUCAAUGUUUAGCACUGAGCAUUUACGCAAUGAAUGCUGAGUGCUAAACAUUGGAUAGCGGCGGACGGGUGAGUAACGCGUGGAUAACCUGCCUUUUACAGGGGGAUAACACAGGGAAACUUGUGCUAAUACCGCAUAACAUACUGAGGUGGCAUCACUUUAGUAUCAAAGGAGAAAUCCGGUAGAAGAUGGAUCCGCGUCCGAUUAGCUAGUUGGCGGGGUAAUGGCCCACCAAGGCGACGAUCGGUAGCCGGACUGAGAGGUCGAUCGGCCACAUUGGGACUGAGACACGGCCCAGACUCCUACGGGAGGCAGCAGUGGGGAAUAUUGCGCAAUGGGGGAAACCCUGACGCAGCAACGCCGCGUGAAGGAAGAAGACUUUCGGGUUGUAAACUUCUUUAGUCGGGGACGAAUGGAUGACGGUACCCGAAGAAUAAGCCACGGCUAACUACGUGCCAGCAGCCGCGGUAAUACGUAGGUGGCGAGCGUUGUCCGGAAUUACUGGGUGUAAAGGGCGUGUAGGCGGGUUGUCAAGUCAGAUGUGAAAUUCCAGGGCUCAACCCUGGAGCUGCAUCUGAAACUGAUGAUCUUGAGUACUGGAGAGGGAAGCGGAAUUCCUAGUGUAGCGGUGAAAUGCGUAGAUAUUAGGAGGAACACCAGUGGCGAAGGCGGCUUUCUGGACAGUAACUGACGCUGAGGCGCGAAAGCGUGGGGAGCGAACAGGAUUAGAUACCCUGGUAGUCCACGCCGUAAACGAUGGAUACUAGGUGUGAGGGGGAUUACCUCUUCGUGCCGCAGUUAACACAAUAAGUAUCCCACCUGGGGAGUACGGCCGCAAGGUUGAAACUCAAAGGAAUUGACGGGGGCCCGCACAAGCAGUGGAGUAUGUGGUUUAAUUCGAAGCAACGCGAAGAACCUUACCAGGGCUUGACAUACACAGGAAUACUGCAGAGAUGUGGUAGUUCUUCGGAACCUGUGAACAGGUGGUGCAUGGUUGUCGUCAGCUCGUGUCGUGAGAUGUUGGGUUAAGUCCCGCAACGAGCGCAACCCUUGUUGUUAGUUGCCAUCAUUAAGUUGGGCACUCUAGCGAGACUGCCGGUGAUAAAUCGGAGGAAGGUGGGGACGACGUCAAAUCAUCAUGCCCCUUAUGUCCUGGGCUACACACGUACUACAAUGGCUAUAACAGAGGGAAGCAAGACCGUAAGGUGGAGCAAAACCCUAAAUAUAGUCUCAGUUCAGAUUGUGGGCUGAAACCCGCCCACAUGAAGUCGGAAUUGCUAGUAAUGGCAGGUCAGCAUACUGCCGUGAAUACGUUCCCGGGCCUUGUACACACCGCCCGUCACACCAUGAGAGUCUGCAACACCCGAAGUCAGUAGCGUAACCGUAAGGAGCGCGCUGCCUAAGGUGGGGCCGAUGAUUGGGGUGAAGUCGUAACAAGGUAGCCG